rnacentral:rRNA from 1 species
UACAGAGGGUGCGAGCGUUGUCCGGAAUCACUGGGCGUAAAGGGCGCGUAGGUGGUGGCUUAAGCGUGCGGUGAAAGCUCGGAGCUCAACUCCGAGUCGGCCGUGCGAACUGGGCUCACUGGAGCAUAGUAGAGGCAGGUGGAAUUCCGGGUGUAGCGGUGGAAUGCGUAGAGAUCCGGAAGAACACCGGUGGCGAAGGCGGCCUGCUGGGCUAUGGGCUGACACUGAGGCGCGACAGCGUGGGGAGCAAACAGG